rnacentral:rRNA from 1 species
UACAGAGGAGGCGAGCGUUAUCCGGAGUUAUUGGGCGUAAAGGGUACGUAGGCGGCUGGUCCAGUCUGGGGUUAAAGACCACAGCUUAACUGUGGGGGGGCCUUGGAAACUGACCGGCUGGAGUGGGGCAGGGGUUGCGGGAAUUCCCGGUGUAGCGGUGAAAUGCGCAGAUAUCGGGAAGAACACCUGAGGCGAAAGCGCGCAACUGGGCCCUAACUGACGCUGAGGUACGAAAGCUAGGGGAGCGAAUGGG